GGCCUCCUGGUGCUUACCACAGGCUGUGUUCUCACACUGACUGUAUAGAAAGAGGAGGCAAAGUAAACCUACCCCAUUCACACCUUAGCCCAGGCCCUGUACCUGGUCUGUAUUGUGACUUGGGAAACACAG
rnacentral:snoRNA from 1 species